GGGCUUGACAUCCCACGAACCUGUCCGAAAGGCUGGAGUGCCCGCAAGGGAGCGUAGAGACAGGUGUUGCAUGGCUGUCGUCAGCUCGUGUCGUGAGAUGUUGGGUUAAGUCCCGCAACGAGCGCAACCCUUAUCCGCUGUUGCCACCGGGUAAUGCCGAGCACUCUAGGGAAACUGCCAGUGACAACCUGGAGGAAGGCGGGGAUGACGUCAAGUCAGCAUGGCCUUUAUGCCCGGGGCUACACACGUGCUACAAUGGCCAGUACAAAGCGCCGCAAACUCGCAAGGGUGAGCUAAUCGGAAAGAACCGGUCUCAGUUCGGAUUGUAGGCUGCAACUCGCCUGCAUGAAGUCGGAAUCGCUAGUAAUCGCGGAUCAGCACGCCGCGGUGAAUACGUUCCCGGGCCUUGUACACACCGCCCGUCACAUCACGAAAGCUGUCUGUACUCGAAGUCGCUGAGA
rnacentral:rRNA from 1 species